rnacentral:rRNA from 1 species
AGUGGGCGCUGGCGGUAGGCCUAACACAUGCAAGUCGAACGGCAGCACAGUAAGAGCUUGCUCUUACGGGUGGCGAGUGGCGGACGGGUGAGGAAUACAUCGGAAUCUACUUUUUCGUGGGGGAUAACGUAGGGAAACUUACGCUAAUACCGCAUACGACCUACGGGUGAAAGCAGGGGAUCUUCGGACCUUGCGCGAUUGAAUGAGCCGAUGUCGGAUUAGCUAGUUGGCGGGGUAAAGGCCCACCAAGGCGACGAUCCGUAGCUGGUCUGAGAGGAUGAUCAGCCACACUGGAACUGAGACACGGUCCAGACUCCUACGGGAGGCAGCAGUGGGGAAUAUUGGACAAUGGGCGCAAGCCUGAUCCAGCCAUACCGCGUGGGUGAAGAAGGCCUUCGGGUUGUAAAGCCCUUUUGUUGGGAAAGAAAAGCAGCAGGUUAAUACCCCGCUGUUCUGACGGUACCCAAAGAAUAAGCACCGGCUAACUUCGUG